GGCUCUGUGGCGCAAUGGAUAGCGCAUUGGACUUCUAAUUCAAAGGUUGUGGGUUCGAGUCCCACUAGAGUCA